rnacentral:rRNA from 1 species
CCUACGGGGGGCUGCAGUGGGGAAUCUUGCGCAAUGGGCGAAAGCCUGACGCAGCAACGCCGCGUGCGGGAUGACGGCCUUCGGGUUGUAAACCGCUUUCAGCAGGGACGAAAAUGACGGUACCUGCAGAAGAAGCUCCGGCUAACUACGUGCCAGCAGCCGCGGUAAUACGUAGGGAGCAAGCGUUGUCCGGAUUUAUUGGGCGUAAAGAGCUCGUAGGCGGUUCCGUAAGUCGAGUGUGAAAAAUCUGGGCUCAACCCAGUGGAGCACUCGAUACUGCGGUGACUAGAGUCCGGUAGGGGAGUGUGGAAUUCCUGGUGUAGCGGUGAAAUGCGCAGAUAUCAGGAGGAACACCGACGGCGAAGGCAGCACUCUGGGCCGGUACUGACGCUGAGGAGCGAAAGCGUGGGGAGCAAACAGGAUUAGAUACCCCUGUAGUC